rnacentral:tRNA from 1 species
GCCCUGGUAGUGUAGCGGCCUAGCAUAAAGCCCUGUCGAGGCUUUGACCCGGGUUCAAAUCCCGGCCAGGGCG